CACAGACGGGCGAGAUCACCAGAGGCGGGGUGAAGCUACCCGUCUACCGAUGCGCCAGGGGGUCCACGUCCCUGGAGUCGUUUCACCUGCACCUGUGCCGCUUCAUCCCGGGUACGUCUGCCAGCGACGUACGCUUCCAGGUGUACCUGCUGGAGGGCCUGGCGCGGUGGAACGAAGACAGGGGCAGGGCCUCCGUCGAGGGAGGCCACCGGUCGCUGAGGUGCUACGACGCCCAGCUGGUGCACUCUUUCGGUCUAAAAACCCAGAGGUUCUUGGGCAAGACCCUGGUUGAGACCUACACAGUACCCAGGGAGUACACAGGACAACUCAUUGGGGUGGAGUACCUGUACUCCCAAACGGGGGCCGUGCUGCAACUGGAUUUGGGCGACCCCGAUGAGGAGAAGGAGGAGUCCUCGGAUGAGGGGUUCGACCAGGAGGGACAAGAAGUCCAG